UAAAAAACAGGGCACACCCAGGGAAACCUGGGGUCGCAAAGCCAUGGGUCUAAGCCGUUUUUGGUAGGAUUGCCAGGUUUCAUCA
rnacentral:ncRNA from 1 species